AACAGGAUUAGAUACCCUGGUAGUCCACGCCGUAAACGAUGUCGACUUGGAGGUUGUGCCCUUGAGGCGUGGCUUCCGGAGCUAACGCGUUAAGUCGACCGCCUGGGGAGUACGGCCGCAAGGUUAAAACUCAAAUGAAUUGACGGGGGCCCGCACAAGCGGUGGAGCAUGUGGUUUAAUUCGAUGCAACGCGAAGAACCUUACCUACUCUUGACAUCCAGAGAACUUUCCAGAGAUGGAUUGGUGCCUUCGGGAACUCUGAGACAGGUGCUGCAUGGCUGUCGUCAGCUCGUGUUGUGAAAUGUUGGGUUAAGUCCCGCAACGAGCGCAACCCUUAUCCUUUGUUGCCAGCGAUUCGGUCGGGAACUCAAAGGAGACUGCCAGUGAUAAACUGGAGGAAGGUGGGGAUGACGUCAAGUCAUCAUGGCCCUUACGAGUAGGGCUACACACGUGCUACAAUGGCAUAUACAAAGAGAAGCGACCUCGCGAGAGCAAGCGGACCUCAUAAAGUAUGUCGUAGUCCGGAUUGGAGUCUGCAACUCGACUCCAUGAAGUCGGAAUCGCUAGUAAUCGUGGAUCAGAAUGCCACGGUGAAUACGUUCCCGGGCCUUGUACACACCGCCCGUCACACCAUGGGAGUGGGUUGCAAAAGAAGUAGGUAGCUUAACCUUCGGGAGGGCGCUUACCACUUUGUGACUCAUGACUGGGGUGAAGUCGUAACAAGGUAACC
rnacentral:rRNA from 1 species